rnacentral:tRNA from 1 species
GCCCGGGUGGCGGAAUUGGUAGACGCAAGGGACUUAAAAUCCCUCGGUGGUUUCCACCGUGCCGGUUCGAUCCCGGCCCUGGGCACCA